rnacentral:rRNA from 1 species
AUUGAACGCUAGCGGGAUGCCUUACACAUGCAAGUCGAACGGAGUGGCGAACGGGUGAGUAAUGUAUCGGAACUUGCCCAGUAGUGGGGGAUACCUACGCGAAAGCGUAGCUAAUACCGCAUACGUUUGGAGCGGCCGAUAUCGGAUUUGCUAGUUGGUGGGGUAACGGCUUACCAAGGCGACGAUCCGUAGCUGGUUUGAGAGGACGACCAGCCACACUGGGACUGAGACACGGCCCAGACUCCUACGGGAGGCAGCAGUGGGGAAUUUUGGACAAUGGGGGAAACCCUGAUCGAGCAAUCCCGCGUGAGUGAUGAAGGCCUUCGGGUUGUAAAGCACUUUUGGCAGGAAAGCGGUACCUGCAGAAUAAGCACCGGCUAACUACGUGCCAGCAGCCGCGGUAAUUC